UACGGAGGGAGCUAGCGUUGUUCGGAAUUACUGGGCGUAAAGCGCACGUAGGCGGCUUGUAAGUUAGAGGUGAAAGCCCGGGGCUCAACCCCGGAAUUGCCUUUAAGACUGCAUCGCUUGAAUCCGGGAGAGGUGAGUGGAAUUCCGAGUGUAGAGGUGAAAGUUCGUAGAUAUUCGGAAGAACACCAGUGGCGAAGGCGGCUCACUGGACCGGUAAUUGACGCUGAGGUGCGAAAGCGUGGGGAGCAAACAGG
rnacentral:rRNA from 1 species